AGCUAUUAUGUAACCGACAUAAAUCAUGUGAGCUAUCAUGGAUUCCAACGUCUAACCCACGUAAAAGGGUUUUCUCUCCUUGCUAUCUGAAUAGAACCUGAACUGUAAUGAUCACUAAUUGAUGUCACGAAGGACUAAGGAGUCACCCUAUACUUGUAGGUUCUCUCAUAAGAUAUGUGUCAAACCUAAGUUGGCAGGAAGACAUCUCAAAUCUAUGUUGUCUAUGUAGUUCUAUAACUUAGGGAUUGCUACUAAGGGUCACACCCUAUACUGG
rnacentral:lncRNA from 1 species